AUUUAGCCCCGAUAGUAGUGGAAAUCCUUGUGAGCCGGAGUUCGGCUCACAAGAUUGCAACGGAUAGCGGGCCCCAUG
rnacentral:sRNA from 1 species